UACGAAGGGGGCUAGCGUUGCUCGGAAUCACUGGGCGUAAAGCGCACGUAGGCGGAUUCCUAAGUCGGUGGUGAAAUCCUGGAGCUCAACUCCAGAACUGCCUCCGAUACUGAGAGUCGUUCGAGUCCGGGAGAGGUGAGUGGAACUGCGAGUGUAAGAGGUGAAAUUCGUAGAUAUUCGCAAGAACACCAGUGGCGAAGGCGGCUGCCAG
rnacentral:rRNA from 1 species